UUGCACAAUCAAAUCUCUCUUAGCCUUAUCAAACACAUACUUUGGACCUUCUUGAAUCAAACUUAUCUCCUAUAAUAAUUUUAGCACUUACCACUUACCUUUGUUGUGCAGCUGGAGAGGAGCAGCUAACAGCUCGGAGUUGACAGAUUGAGUGAUGUCUCUGGCCUCAAGAAGUAAAGUUAUUCAAGCCUACAAAAAUCUGCUCCAUUUGGGCAAGAAUUAUCCAAAGGGUUAUGAUUUCUUCCGGCAACGCCUGAAGUCCGCGUUCAUGAAAAACAAGGAUGUCACUGAUCCUGCUCAGAUCGAACAGCUGCUCUGCAAAGCCGAGUUUGUCUCCAAGGAGCUGGAGGCGCUCUACAUGCUGCGGAAGUAUCGCACUCUCAAGAAACGGUACUACGAAGACGCACCGCCCAAGAGUUCGACCUAAUCUCACGUAUUUGCGCUUCUUUUUCAAGCAGUUCUCAACGUAACGCUGAACGUUUCAGCGUAUAUGCAUUGUUAUCCCAAAGCAAGUGGUAUAGUUGGUAAUAAUACUCGUUAAGUUUUAAUUACAAAGGGACGUUUUGUACCCAUGUUGUCGAGGGUUGUUUCCAUGUGAAUGCUUUAUAUAGAAUAGCGCAAAUGAUUGUUCUUGCCAGGAUACGAGGUGCGAACUGUGUUUUUGAGUACGUAUGAAUAGGCAUGACUGGAAGCGCCUGCUGUAUUUUCUCGGAUGCGGCAUUCUGGCGUCCUGGCGCAGCACAGAAACUGCAUUUCACCGGGGCAUCUGGUCGCGUGUACCCUCACACGCUGUGCUCAAGUUGUUGAACACGUGAUGUACCAUUAUGAAUGCAUGAUCUACAUAAGAAAUAAAUAUAUUAUUGGUAGAA